GAUGAACGCUGGCGGCGUGCCUAAUACAUGCAAGUCGAGCGAACGGACGAGAAGCUUGCUUCUCUGAUGUUAGCGGCGGACGGGUGAGUAACACGUGGAUAACCUACCUAUAAGACUGGGAUAACUUCGGGAGACCGGAGCUAAUACCGGAUGAUAUUUUGAACCGCAUGGUUCAAAAGUGAAAGACGGUCUUGCUGUCACUUAUAGAUGGAUCCGCGCUGCAUUAGCUAGUUGGUAAGGUAACGGCUUACCAAGGCAACGAUGCAUAGCCGACCUGAGAGGGUGAUCGGCCACACUGGAACUGAGACACGGUCCAGACUCCUACGGGAGGCAGCAGCAGGGAAUCUUCCGCAAUGGGCGAAAGCCUGACGGAGCAACGCCGCGUGAGUGAUGAAGGUCUUCGGAUCGUAAAACUCUGUUAUUAGGGAAGAACAUAUGUGUAAGUAACUGUGCACAUCUUGACGGUACCUAAUCAGAAAGCCACGGCUAACUACGUG
rnacentral:rRNA from 1 species